rnacentral:rRNA from 1 species
CGCAGCCGCGGUAAUUCCAGCUCCAAUAGCGUAUAUUAAAGUUGUUGCAGUUAAAAAGCUCGUAGUUGAAUUUCGGGAUUGACACAUCGGUCGUGCCUUAAGGGGUAUGAACUGGUGUAGUCAAUUUCUCACCUUCUGGAGAACCGCGAUGCCCUUAAUUGGGUGUCACGGGGAACCAGGACCUUUACUUUGAAAAAAUUAGAGUGUUUAGAGCAGGCAUUUUGCUUGAAUACAUUAGCAUGGAAUAAUAAAAUAGGACGGCAUGAUUCUAUUUUGUUGGUUUCUAGGAUCACCGUAAUGAUUAAUAGGGAUAGUUGGGGGCAUUAGUAUUCAAUUGUCAGAGGUGAAAUUCUUGGAUUUAUUGAAGACUAACUACUGCGAAAGCAUUUGCCAAGGAUGUUUUCAUUAAUCAAGAACGAAAGUUAGGGGAUCGAAGACGAUCAGAUACCGUCGUAGUCUUAACCAUAAACUAUGCCGACUAGGAAUCAGACGAUGUUAAUUUUUAAUGACUCGUUUGGCA